rnacentral:rRNA from 1 species
AGUCGAGCGCGCCCUUCGGGGUGAGCGGCGGACGGGUGAGUAACGCGUGGGAAUAUGCCCUUCUCUAAGGAAUAGCCUCUGGAAACGGAGAGUAAUACCUUAUACGCCCUUUGGGGGAAAGAUUUAUCGGAGAAGGAUUAGCCCGCGUUAGAUUAGGUAGUUGGUGGGGUAAUGGCCUACCAAGCCUACGAUCUAUAGCUGGUUUGAGAGGAUGAUCAGCCACACUGGGACUGAGACACGGCCCAGACUCCUACGGGAGGCAGCAGUAGGGAAUCUUAGACAAUGGGGGCAACCCUGAUCUAGCCAUGCCGCGUGUGUGAUGAAGGCCCUAGGGUCGUAAAGCACUUUCGCCAGAGAUGAUAAUGACAGUAUCUGGUAAAGAAACCCCGGCUAACUCCGUGCCAGCAGCCGCGGUAAUACGGAGGGGGUUAGCGUUGUUCGGAAUUACUGGGCGUAAAGCGCACGUAGGCGGAUUAGUAAGUUAGAGGUGAAAUCCCAGGGCUCAACCCUGGAACUGCCUUUAAUACUGCUAGUCUUGAGUUCGAGAGAGGUAAGUGGAAUUCCGAGUGUAGAGGUGAAAUUCGUAUAUUUUCGGAGGAACACCCGUGGCGAAAGCGGCUUACUGGCUCGAUACUGACGCUGAGGUGCGAAAGUGUGGGGGAGCAAACAGGAUUAAAUCCCCUGGUUGUUCCACACCGCUAACCAUGAAUGCCAGAACGUCAGCCAGUAUUCUUUGUUGGGUGUCCCACCCUAACGGAAUAAGCCUUUCCCCCCGGG